rnacentral:rRNA from 1 species
GACGAACGCUGGCGGCGUGCCUAAUACAUGCAAGUAGAACGCACAGUUUAUACCGUAGCUUGCUACACCAUAGACUGUGAGUUGCGAACGGGUGAGUAACGCGUAGGUAACCUGCCUGGCAGCGGGGGAUAACUAUUGGAAACGAUAGCUAAUACCGCAUAAUAUUAAUUAUUGCAUGAUAAUUAAUUGAAAGGUGCAAUUGCACCACUACCAGAUGGACCUGCGUUGUAUUAGCUAGUAGGUGAGGUAACGGCUCACCUAGGCGAAGAUACAUAGCCGACCUGAGAGGGUGAUCGGCCACACUGGGACUGAGACACGGCCCAGACUCCUACGGGAGGCAGCAGGAGGGAAACUUCGGCAAUGGACGAAAGUCUGACCGAGCAACGCCGCGGGAGUGAAGAAGGGUUUCGGAUCGUAAAGCUCGGUUGUAAGGGAAGAACGGGUGUGAGAGUGGAAAGUUCACACUGUGACGGUAUCUUAUCAGAAAGGGACGGCUAACUACGUG